GUUUACGUCUGUUCGCGGCACCAGGCAAGGGGAGGAGACUGAGCUGGCUUUUGAUUGGACAGCGGGAAGACAUGGGGCGGGAAGAAGCCCGGUGAUUGGUGGGGACAGCGCGUUCCUGGAUUUGAAGCGAGGAAGCCGCGCGCCCUGCGAGUCCGGAGGAGGAAAUGGAGCUCUGCGCUGCGUGGGACCCGGGGGACGGCUCCCGUUGGCGCCGCCUUCAAGGUAAGGGAUUAAGAGGCCGAGAGAGAUAUCGUCUGCGAGGGUGAGGAUACUGGAGGUUGGCAGUGUCAGCAUCGCAAGAGUGCUCUACCAGAGGAGGAGGAGGAGGAGGAAGGAGCUGGGCAUAACUGGACCAUCUCGAUCCAGCCCGUGGGGAAUCCAGAGGGGUAAAGAAAUACCUGAAACAAUGAAGACAGGAACAAAACACCAAACAAAACAAAAACAGGAAAAAAAAAACACAAGAAAAAGAGAAAAGUAGUAAAUACAAAGAGAACCAAAGAGGAGAAAACACAUGCUAGAAAAAAAAAAAAAA
rnacentral:lncRNA from 10 species